rnacentral:rRNA from 1 species
CGAAACCGCGAAUGGCUCAUUAAAUCAGUUAUGGUUCACUAGACCGUACAGUUUACAUGGAUAACUGUGGUAAUUCUAGAGCUAAUACAUGCAACCAGUCCGUUCCCUCGCGGAGCGGACGCAGUUAUUUGCCCAAGACCAAUCCGGCCCUCGGGUCGGUCAAUUGGUGACUCUGAAUAACCGAAGCGGAGCGCAUGAUCUCGUAUCGGCGCCAGAUCUUUCAAGUGUCUGACUUAUCAGCUUGUUGUUAGGUUAUGUUCCUAACAAGGCUUUUACGGGUAACGGAGUGUCAGGGCCCGACACCGGAGAGGGAGCCUGAGAAACGGCUACCACAUCCAAGGAAGGCAGCAGGCGCGCAAAUUACCCACUCCCGGCACGGGGAGGUAGUGACGAAAAAUAACG